UUCAGCAGUAGUCAGCUGUCUAUAUGAGUACCAUACCUGACGGUGUUACACUGCAGGGAAAUAAGUGUACUGUCUAAUCUGUCCGUCUGUCACCAUUCUGGAGGCAUUUGGUAGCAGUGUGGGGCAGUACUGUGCUUCUCUGAGAGUAUGCUGAGCAGUUAACAUUCUGCUCAGCACUAGAAUAGCAGGAUAUACA